CCUCCUGGGAAGUCCUCGUGUAGCACCCUU
rnacentral:rRNA from 1 species